rnacentral:rRNA from 1 species
UACGGAGGGGGCUAGCGUUGUUCGGAAUGACUGGGCGUAAAGGGCGCGUAGGCGGCUAAGUAAGUGAGGUGUGAAAGCCCCGGGCUUAACCUGGGAAUAGCACUUCAUACUACAAAGCUAGAGGACGAGAGAGGAAAGUGGAAUUCCUAGUGUAGAGGUGAAAUUCGUAGAUAUUAGGAAGAACAUCAGUGGCGAAGGCGACUUUCUGGCUCGUAACUGACGCUGAGGCGCGAAAGCGUGGGGAGCAAACAGG